rnacentral:lncRNA from 1 species
GACUUGGUCUGAGUUUGAAUCAGAUUGGGUUUCAUAAAUCCAAAAUGAUUUUGGACUUAAUUAAGUUUUGACUUAUUUGGAAACUUAAAUCAGUUUGGAUUCAAACCUAAACCUUGUUGGACUUGGACCAAGUGUUUGACUUGGUCUAAGCAAGCCUCACGCCCCAAGAUAAUCCACGUCCAAGAGAGAUGUGUGUGGGUUUUUUUUGGCAUG